rnacentral:sRNA from 1 species
AAGAAGGCUUAAACUACAAUAUGAUA